GAUGCUAAGCUCAUGUCUUGACCAUCUUUUUCACAAAAAAAAUCAAAAUCCUUCCUCUAGCGUCAAUCUGUUGCUGCAAUGCUCAAAAUCUAGAAUAAGAUGACUUGAAUCGAGUGAGGCUGGGCUGGAAUGAUCCAUGCGAUCCGAUGAAAAUUUUUUCAAUCUGCAAAACCAAUCAAGAAAUCGGAUGAAAAUCCUCUGGUUCUUGACCCUCCGAUAUGCUUAAGUCAGUUUGAGCCUUGAGAAUGGAGAUAGAAAAGAGUGGAAGAGCAAGAGAGAUUGGAUGGAAUUGGAGGAGAACUAGGUAGAAGCCAAAAGUUUGGU
rnacentral:lncRNA from 1 species